rnacentral:rRNA from 1 species
UACGAAGGGGGCUAGCGUUGCUCGGAAUCACUGGGCGUAAAGCGCACGUAGGCGGAUUGUUAAGUCAGGGGGUGAAAUCCUGGAGCUCAACUCCAGAACUGCCUUUGAUACUGGCGAUCUCGAGUCCGGGAGAGGUGAGUGGAACUGCGAGUGUAGAGGUGAAAUUCGUAGAUAUUCGCAAGAACACCAGUGGCGAAGGCGGCUCACUGGCCCGAUACUGACGCUGAGGCACGAAAGCGUGGGGAGCAACAGG